rnacentral:rRNA from 1 species
AAAUUGAAGAGUUUGAUCAUGGCUCAGAUUGAACGCUGGCGGCAGGCCUAACACAUGCAAGUCGAACGGUAGCACAGAGAGCUUGCUCUCGGGUGACGAGUGGCGGACGGGUGAGUAAUGUCUGGGAAACUGCCCGAUGGAGGGGGAUAACUACUGGAAACGGUAGCUAAUACCGCAUAACGUCGCAAGACCAAAGUGGGGGACCUUCGGGCCUCACACCAUCGGAUGUGCCCAGAUGGGAUUAGCUAGUAGGUGGGGUAACGGCUCACCUAGGCGACGAUCCCUAGCUGGUCUGAGAGGAUGACCAGCCACACUGGAACUGAGACACGGUCCAGACUCCUACGGGAGGCAGCAGUGGGGAAUAUUGCACAAUGGGCGCAAGCCUGAUGCAGCCAUGCCGCGUGUAUGAAGAAGGCCUUCGGGUUGUAAAGUACUUUCAGCGAGGAGGAAGGCGUUGUGGUUAAUAACCACAGCGAUUGACGUUACUCGCAGAAGAAGCACCGGCUAACUCCGUGCCAGCAGCCGCGGUAAUACGGAGGGUGCAAGCGUUAAUCGGAAUUACUGGGCGUAAAGCGCACGCAGGCGGUUUGUUAAGUCAGAUGUGAAAUCCCCGGGCUCAACCUGGGAACUGCAUUUGAAACUGGCAAGCUUGAGUCUCGUAGAGGGGGGUAGAAUUCCAGGUGUAGCGGUGA